AUUGAACGCUGGCGGCAUGCCUAACACAUGCAAGUCGAACGGAAACGGGCCUACCGGUGCCGCCGAGUGGUGGACGGGGGCGUAAUAGAUAGGAACGUAUCCGAUCGUUGUGGGUAACGAGUCGAAAGCUUUGCUAAUACCGCAUACGAUCUACGGAUUAGAACAGGGGAGCGCAAGGCCUUACGCGGGCGUUGCGGCCGAUGGCAGAUUAGCUAGUUGGUGGGAUAAAAGCUUACCAAGCCGACGAUCUGUAGCUGGUCUGAGAGGAUGAUCAGCCACACUGGGACUGAGACACGGUCCAGACUCCUACGGGAGGCAGCAGUGGGGAAUUUUGGACAAUGGGCGCAAGCCUGAUCCAGCCAUGCCGCGUGCGGGAUGAAGGCCUUCGGGUUGUAAAGUGCUUUUGUACGGAAAGAAAAGCUUUCUUUUAAUACAGGAGGGUCAUGACGGUACCGAAAGAAUAAGCACCGGCUAACUACGUG
rnacentral:rRNA from 1 species